AUUCUGUAUGCACAGUCAUACCAGUGCACACUGAAACUUUCACUGCACAUCUGUGCAUCACUGCAUGGUCUAGGCACCACGCCAGAGGCUGAAUUCCUGCGAGUCCGUGCAGCUCCCACACGUUUACAGCACUAGGACCCAGAGGGAGCUUCAUUUCUGUGAGUCAGUGCAGCUAGCUGAGCCCUGUGAGCAGUGAAUGAGGCUGGAAAGGCAGAGGGAAUGUGAAUGGCUCUUCUGGCUUGGGAAAGUGUCCACAGACUGGGCUGCUACGGACUACAAACCAGCUCGGACAACCCUCCAGAUCCCCGGUACUGCCGGCAUCCCGUGCCGCUGCUCUGAGGACCAACUACAGCAACCUAGACACUUCCCUAAAACCAGCUCGAGAUCCAUCUGGGAAAGCUGUAAAGGAAGAGGAGGACAGGCCAUGCAUCCACCUUCAUGCAGCUCUUUGGACUUGCUGUUUUAAGCAGCACAUAGAAGGGCUCCUUGUGCUUGGACAGGAACUACAGGUCAAGAGUCACAAUGCUGUUUUCCGUUAAGUACCACAAACAGAGAGAUGCAUCACAUGCUAUCAAGCAUUCUUGUCAUUACCCUUGCCUACACUAAGCUUGAGUCAGAAAUCUAGAGGUGGAUCUUCGUUGCACAUCCGGUGAUGACGAUGAUCACGCUGACGUGACACAUGCUCAUCGCUGCAGGGCAGCCAUUUUUCUCAGUCUAUUGCUCUCCCUAGAAAUACUCAUCGGAACAUUUCAGUACUGGAGGCAUUUCGAACAAAAGGAAGUGUAUGAUACACAGGCAGCUUCCAUCUGGCUCUUCAGCAUACAUAAAGCUGCUCUUUACAGGAUGAAUCACUGUAAAUAUAGAGGAAUGAAAUCUUAGGUCCAUCAGAAAUACCUAUUUUCUUGCUCAUCAGCUGAGAUCAAGGGAGAGCUGAAAUGCAGAGCCUCUGACACUGUUCUUAGUCACAACAGCUUAAGGAUUCCCUUAAAGACCUCACCGAACUCAGAAAUUUGUUCCCAGAACUACAACUGCUAAAUUCCAAUUUAUGGACCUGUUGAAGUGUUUCGGUGAGGAAGAUGUGCCAGCAAACCCCUUCCCUUGAACAGCUUCACCAGCAUCUGCAACAUUCAUUUCUUUCCUACUACCAGAAGCAGCAAGAUAAAACUACUGUUUGUUGCUUAUUUUGGUGACCUCCAUGAUCCCAUUGCUGCAGAGACAGCCAAGCACAUCAUCCAUCACUGCAAGUAACACUAGAAAACAAGCAGUAGUUUACUGGCUGCAGACCAUCUGCUACCAGUAGCCCCAGUACAGCAUACAUGCUCAAUACUGUGUCAUUGGAAAGAACUGCACAAACUUCAUUCCUAGGUCAAACCCUGCGGACUAUGAACUUCUUUUGUCAUUCCUGAACAAAGCAUAAUCAUUGAUUUCUGGGCUCUAGCAGCCUAACAAGUACUCUGCAUGAUGCAAAGAGUAAAUAUCUAGAAUAAAGACCUAAACAUAAUGAAAGGUG
rnacentral:lncRNA from 14 species